rnacentral:sRNA from 1 species
UUUAAUAGACUGGCAAUUUAAGUGGGGCUGGUUUCUAUAUUUGGGUGUGGUAACUUGUAGACUAUAUAGAGAAAAAUAAGCAUAGAUAGGUAGAUAGAUAGAUAGAUAGAUAGAUAGAUAGAUAGAUAGAUAGAUAGAUGCUUGUUUUGUUAACACAGAGACAGUUUAUUUUAUUCAAUAUAUUUUCCUUUUAUAGCUCCUACCUCCUCUUUAGAAUCUUCCAGUAGCAUAGAACAAGAGAAAUACUUGCAAGCCUUACUGAAUGCUGUUUCUGUCCAUCAGAAACUCAGAGGCAACAGCACUCUUACUGUCAGGCCAGCCUUUGCUCUAUCUCCAGGUGUGUGGGCAAGUCUUCGCUCUAGCACUCGCUUGAUCAGCUCUCCAACAUCCUUCAUUGAUGUUGGCGCCCGGCUGGCAGGCAAGGAUCACUCGGCCUCCUUCAGUAACAGCACCUACCUACAAAACCAGCUCUUGAAACGGCAAGCAGCCCUUUACAUAUUUGGUGAAAAGUCGCAACUAAGGAACUUCAAGGUAGAAUUUGCUUUAAAUUGUGAGUUUGUUCCUGUUGAAUUUCAUGAAAUCCGGCAAGUGAAAGC